AUGACCCGGGGGAGAUGGAAAGCCAAACUUAAAAUGGGUUUGCAUGUCAAGUCCUGCCGGAGACUCCUCCUGGGGCUUUCCGGAAGAGAAGAAGGUGUCGCCGCCGCCUCAGAGGGUGUCCCGCACCGUUCCCGGAUCUGCCUUCCCCCGUCGCGGCCCCUCCCUCCCUUCCUCUUUCCCUCCUCGUCGGAUCAACCGGGAGGACGUGCCCGCGCCGGCUCGCGUCCCGCUCCGGCUCGGCGGCCCGGGCCCGAGGCCCGCCGAGAGAGCCGCGUUUCCCUCUCCCCUCCACACCCCCUCCCUUCCUCUCUCCCGCUUCUGCUUCCUCCUCCCGCGUCCCUCUGUCCCCCCACGGCGCGCCUCCCCCGGGCCCGGCUCCAAGCCUCCAGCACCCCCAGUCCGGUGGUGGUAAUAAUACUAACGGUAACGGCGUUUGCUAAGUGCUCACGACGGGCCAGGCGCCGUUCGAAGCGCGGGGGGGGGGGGGGGGAGAUACGAGGUCAUCGGGUUGUCCCACGUGGGGCUCGCGAUCUUCGUCCCCAUUUUCCAGAGGAGGGAACCGAGGCACGGAGAAGUGAAGUGACUCGGCCUAGGUCACGCGGCGGACGAGGGGCGGAGCCGGGAUCGGCGCGCACGUCCUCCGACCCCCGAGCCCGCGCUCCCGCAUCCCGGAGGUGCGAGGUCAUCCCCCGGAGACGCUCGGCCGCAGCCCACCGGGCAGACCCGCCCCCAUCCCCCGUCCCCCACCCCACCUCCCGCCCCGACCCACGGCCGCGCGUUCGACACGCGGACCCAACCGGGAGUCCGAAGCCCGGCCGCCCACACCGACUGAACGCGAGGCCCGACCGCGCCCUCGGCGCCGCUGUCUCGCAUCUUGCUAGGACGGAGCUGGGCCCGCGGCGAGCGCCGAACAAGAUGCUUUCACUGCUGUUAUCGUCGCGGGCGCCGAGCCAGGGUCUCCGAACCCGUCGAUCGAGCGGUGGAGAAACAGCACGUCAGGGCGGCUCCUCCCCGGCUUCGUCUCUCGGCAGGAGUCCGGAGGGGGCAGCGGGGCGCGGCCCCGACCGAGAGACGCCCCGAUUCCGUUGCCUCUUCCCCGGGGGGAGACGGACCUUUCGGGAGGUGAGGCUUGCCCGAGGCAGGCCCCCUUCGCUCCCUCGCCAGGCUGCUGAUUUGCUCGUGACCCUGCAGUCGGGAGAAUUGAAAGAGCGGAAUCGGUAG
rnacentral:lncRNA from 1 species